rnacentral:lncRNA from 1 species
GGUUUCACCGUGUUAGCCAGGAUGGUCUCGAUCUCCUGACCUCGUGAUCCGCUCGUCUCGGCUUCCCAAAGUGCUGAGAUUACAGGCUUGCAGGCGUGAGCCACCGCGCCCGGCCGAGUUAAAGUACUUUUUCUGGAACAAAGAAACUUAGCAUAAAUAGUUAAAAUAUUAAGAGUUGUAAUUAAGGGAAAUUUCAGCUCAAUAUGACUUCAACAGUUUAAAAAAUGUAUUAUUUCACAUAAGACCAUGGAGAGAGGAAUUGGAAGCCCCAGAAUUGAUUGGGUCAGAAAUUGAAAAUGAUACUAUCAGUGACCCAGGUUUGAAUGUCUCUCUCCACAGCAUUGACUUCACUAAUGGAUGUGACCUGGUUGGCAGCAGUAGCUUGCACAACAUGCUUGUUUGCAGUGAGUAGUAGAGAGAAGGUUUUGCUUUCCCAGAAACUCUGAAAAAGGUCAUCAAACCUAAAUUUCCUUAGCCUUCUUCUUCCAUGAGCAAAUCACUAGCAGAUGAUUGCUAGCAAGGUGUUACUAUUACAAUGAACCCCUAAGUGUCAGAGAAAGAGUUAGUUUGGGGAAAUAUCCUCUCCACCACAAUCUUAGUCAUUGAAGUCAAUUUAACAAUAUAUUGAAAUAUUUUUCUUAGAAGUUUAAAGUUCCAUUAAAGAGUAACAAUUACAGAAAUUAUAGGUAGCCUUUAGUUCUACAAGUGACAUCUCAAAAGGGAGAUGAUUCAUCAAUUUCAAACUUUCCCUGCAAGUAAUACUGGAUGAAAAUUAACUUGGCCAACAUAAUUAAUAAUCAUGGGUUAUUAAUUACUUCUGCAAGAAACUUAAAUCCUCAGUGUGACACAACUCAGUCCUUCUACUGCAGCAGCUCUUUUAUAAAAGCCUCCCAAAGCUCCAAGAAGGAACAAAGAAUGUGACCCAGUAAGCUCACACCAUAAGUCUAUAUUGCAGAAACCUUUGUUCAACAAAACUGCAGAUGCUCUGUUGAAUCCACUGGAGAUUGUCCUGAUACUAAGGACAAGCUCAUAUGACAUUAACAGACAAGACACUUUUCAGAAAGACAGGUUGUUCUUUUGGGCCACAUCUAAGAAAUCUUUGUCUAGCCAAAAGCCACAAAUAAUUUCUCAUUUUUUGGCUUCUGGAAGAUGUACAGUUAAAUGUUAUAUUUGGGACUGUUAUCUAAUUUGAUUAAAUUGCACUCUACAAUAUGAUAUUUGAAUUGAUGAAAAAUUAGUAAAUGUUAAUAUUUUUUAAAGUAGCCAAAUCUUGCAAUUUAUAUAUAAUAGAGAAGACUAGAAAAUCCCCCAUAUUUAUUUCCUCUUACUUCGUACUACUAAAAUUUGUAUUUAGGCAUUUGGUUUCUCAGAUAAACAUUACAUUCCCCAGUAUAUGGU